AGAGACUGGGAAAAGAUCCCCUACCAAAAGUCUGUUGAACCACAUCUGUGGUGAUUCUCAGUCAAUGCAGACAGACAUACCAGUAGAAAAAACACCUACUUUGACUGGACAAGAGGACAGUGAGAAUGACAUUGUUCUUGUGGAGCAACCACAAAAGGCUGGGGUUAAAUACACUGUUUUCCCAAGAAGAAAAGAAAGAAAUCAAAGAAAAUAAUAAACCCUAGAAAAUUAGAUGUGAUUAAGAAAUUAAGUCAACCCCCAAAGAUUCUUAAAAGUUUUUUUUUUUAUUAAUGUGUAUUGCCUUUUUAAAGAAUGUAUUUUCAUUUGUAAUUGUUAUCUAAUUACAGGUUUUGUUUUUUUAAUAUUUAAUAUUCCCCUGCAAUUAAAUAAUCAUAGUUUAGUUGUUUAGGAAUAAUAUAUGUAAUUUUAAUGCAAAGAAAAAACCCCUGCUGCUUGGGUAUCUUUAGAACGUUUAACAUUUACUGCACUUUAAAUUGAAAUGGUGGUGCUUUGUGCAACAACGGAAGUUUUAUCUAAGGAUAAAUGCAUGAUUAAAAUCAUCAAACCUCUUCUGAAAGACAAGGGGGAAAUUCUAAGAUCUUAGUAAACCGACUGGACUAACCACCUUUGUACCAUGAACUUCACAGAUUACAUCAAACAAGUAAGUUUCCUUUUUACCUUUUGUUUUCAUGUAUCACUCUAAAUACUUUCCCAGUAUUUAUUAUUUAAGCACUUCAGAUAUAGGGUGCCUUAGCAAAUAUUCAAGUAUUUAAAAAAAAAAAAAAAGGAGAGAGAAAAGAAAUUAAUGUUCUUGCUAGUUUUUUUUGAUAUUUCUUAAACACUUAUGCUUAAAGUGUGACCUGCAAAAAGAUUCCAAAUGUUGUUUAUUUUUGUGUACAGUCAUAUGCAUCCACACUGUACUUACACUGAUGUUCAGACCUGGUCCUUAAGGCCAGUUUUCCAUUCAGCUUCUUCUUUUUCUACUUUUAGGCACCUUUCAGUAGGUUUAUUCUUAAGAAAAUCAAAGAUACUUAAGUGGUGUGAUAUACUGGUAUAGUGAGCUGUGACUAAGGGAGAAGGUGGCCUUUUUCCAAAGUCUUGUUUUAGACAGGGUGCUUGCUGUAUGUUCUUUGCUGUCUAAGACUUUCAUAUCAGUUUUGCUAAACCAAGGGAAUUUCAUCUUCAUCUUUGUACAAUUUUGCAUGCCAUUCAUGCAUGGACCUGCUACAUUUUUUAUUUAAUUUCCCUUUUUUUUCCUAGUAGGAUCCUUAUGUAUAAGAUAUUAUAAAUAUUAGAUACAUAGUGUUAUAAAUAUGUAUGUAUAAAAUAUUUUCUCUGUAUUCCCUUCUGUGUUAGCAAGGCUAGUAUUGUUUGUGAUAAAGAUUAAGUGUUUCUUUUAAAGACUUCUGUUUCUUUCACCAUGAUGUCUCAAAGCAGAUGUUGAUAUUGAAUAUUUGUGAAGGUUCUCACCUUGGAAGCUAUGCAUUUUCCCAGAUGAUCAUGUUGGAAAUGUCCUUGUAAAUUCAGGUGGUUUUUUUCACCUCUGGGUGGUGCUUCUUACAGUCUCAUGACCUUUUCCUACUAUCAUUGGGUUCUGUCAUUGAUAUAUUUAUCCAUCCAGGAUUUAUCAUCAUUUGACAAGGCUGGUAAUUGUCCACUCUGAAAUAUUGUCCUUUCUUAGGUUUAGCACUGUCCUUGUAAACCCAAGUUAGAAGCUUUUGGAGGAAAUAAGCAUGUAACUGCAAGUCUGAGUCUCUGGGAAGGCUCCCUAUUCAUGAUAAAUUCAGUAUCAAGGUGUCUUCAGCAAUCAAAAAAUAUCAGAGCCCCAGCAUCCCUUGUUUGUUAGAUUUUGAGAAGUUUGCAAAAGUGAGAGGUGGAAUUCCAAAAGAAACUUCUGCUUGCCUGUGUGUCAAUGGAGUAUGGAACUCCUGGUUUGAUGAAACUUUCCCUCCUUGUGGGACUGCUUCUGAGGAGAAGGAUGCUGAGUUACUAAAAGGAACUGAGAUGACAGAGUCUCAAGAAGCAAAAUUAGAACUAGUUGACUCAAUACAGCCUGUUCUUGAAGGUGCAACAGUUAGUUCUGAAGAUUUAGAAGAAGUAGUAAGACUACUGACUAUGUUAAUAGAAAAGGAGGAGCACCCUUCAACUUUUCACUACUGUAGGCAUGGAACAAUACAAAGAAAGUUAGGCAAGUUAAAGUCAGCUAUAGAUGACUUGGAAAAAGUAAGUCUAAUGUUAAAUUUUACUUCUAUCAAGCACCUUCUUUUUUUUUUUUUUUUAACUGAGUAUCUGAGUUCUUCAACAGGUGAGCUAGAAGCAGGAGAACUGAUAACUAGCUGAAUGCUGCCACCUUUUACCUUUGUAUGACAGCAUGAUCUAAGUUUUGUCCCACAGCAAUGAAGAUGCAGGCUCUUAAUAAACUGUGUUUGUUUAGUGUUCUCAGGGGACCAUAGUGUUUCUUUGGAGACCUUGCUCAGGACACAACACUCCUAAAGGGAGUUGGAGAUAGGACAGACACAAUGAACAGAAAGUCUUUUGAUUCAGUUUUUGCUGCUGGCAAAGCUAACAAAUACAUUUUUAAUUUCUGCAGAAGUAUAGUAAGCAAAUACAUUGAAAAGUCAUGUAUUCCUAUAAUCAUUUGACACUAAGAUUUUAUACAAUA